UUGCGUUCUUCUUCUUCCCCCAAAUUUUUUUCUUUUUCUUUUUCUUUUUUUUCUUCCUGCUUUUCGACG
rnacentral:ribozyme from 14 species